rnacentral:rRNA from 1 species
CCUACGGGUGGCAGCAGUGAGGAAUAUUGGUCAAUGGCCGGAAGGCUGAACCAGCCAUGCCGCGUGAAGGGCAGGGUCCCAGGGGCGUUAAACUUACUUUGUUCGGGAGCAAUAAUGGUCACGUGUGGCCAGACUAGAGUACCGUACGAAUAAACAUCGGCUAACUCCGGUCCAGCAACCGAGGUAAUAAGGGGGAUGCAAACGUUAUCCGGGUUUAUUGGGUUUAAAGGGUGCGUAGGCUGUGAGGUAAGUCAGCGGUGAAAUGCCCCCGCUCAACGGGGUGAAGUGCCAUUGAUACUGCCUUGCUGGAAUGCGGAUGCAGUGGGAGGAAUGUGUGGUGUAGCGGUGAAAUGAAUAGAUAUCACACAGAACACCGAUUGCGAAGGCAUCUCACGAAUCCGCGAUUGACGCUGAUGCACGAAAGCGUGGGUAUCAAACAGGAUUAGAUACCCGUGUAGUC